rnacentral:rRNA from 1 species
GGAAUUUUCCGCAAUGGGCGAAAGCCUGACGGAGCAAUACCGCGUGAGGGAUGAAGGAUUUUGGUCUGUAAACCUCUUUUCUCAAGAAAGAAGUUCUGACGGUACUUGAGGAAUAAGCAUCGGCUAACUCCGUGCCAGCAGCCGCGGUAAUACGGGGGAUGCAAGCGUUAUCCGGAAUCAUUGGGCGUAAAGCGCCUGUAGGUUGUUUACAAAGUCUGUUGUUAAAGACUAGGGCUUAACCCUAGAAGAGCAAUGGAAACUCGUAGACUAGAGUGUGGCAGGGGUAGAGGGAAUUUCUAGUGUAGCGGUGAAAUGCGUAGAUAUUAGAAAGAACACCAGUGGCGAAAGCGCUCUACUAGACCAUUACUGACACUCAGAGGCGAAAGCUAGGGUAGCAAAAGGGAUUAGAUACCCCUGUAGUC